GCCAAGGUUCGCCUUCAAGACUUCCAGUUCUGGUCGGUUCCCUGAGAAAGCAGGCGCCGGGGCCGCCGCAGCCUCACUGGCCUGCCCGGAAGGUGCUGAAGUCGGGGGUCGGGGGCUCGGGCGAGGACGACGUGGAGCUCCCAGCUCCGUCACUGCCUGGCACUGUGACCCCCCAGCUGCAUGACUUCGCCUCUUGCUGUCUCAGUUUGUCCUCUGUGAAAUGGGGAGAAUGCCAGGCCCUCCCGCGGAGCCAGGGCUGCAGAGGGGGCGAAAGACAGCUGGUGACUGUGCUGGAAGACUACCCCUCCCGCUCCUUGGCAAGUCACCCCCCUCCUCCACCUGGGGGGCUCCUGGCCCGCCUGCGAGUCCAGGAGGGAACUCGGCAGAGCCCCAGGAAAGCAGAUGAGAGCAGGCUGGGCUCCCCCCCACACACACACACACAGCCACCCCACUAAGGCCCUUGCCUCUGGGUUGUGUGUGUGGAAAGAAAUGGCUUAGUGGUUAACCCACUGGGGACACCCACGUCCCAUAUCACAGAGCCUGGGCUCAAAUCCCAACCCCACUCCCGACUCCAGCUCCCUGCUCCUGCACACACACAUACCCUGAGAGGCAGCAGGGGUGGCCCAAGGACUUGGGUCCCUGCUGCCCAUGUGGGAGGCCUGGAUUAAAAUUCUGGCUUGCAGGCAUAGGGGAGUGAACCAGCAGAUGGAAGACAGCCUCUCUCUCUCUCUCUCUCUCUCUCUCUCUCUCUCUC